rnacentral:rRNA from 1 species
AUGUGGAUUGGCGGAUUUCUAAUAGUCGGUGCUACUGCACAUGCAGCAAUUUUUAUGGUAAGAGACUAUGAUCCAACUACUCGAUACAAUGAUCUAUUAGAUCGCGUCCUUAGACACCGCGAUGCAAUCAUAUCCCACCUUAACUGGGUAUGUAUAUUUAUAGGUUUUCAUAGUUUUGGCUUGUACAUUCAUAAUGAUACCAUGAGUGCUUUAGGCCGUCCACAAGAUAUGCUUUCAGAUACCGCCAUACAAUUACAACCUAUCUUUGCUCAAUGGGUACAAAAUAUCCAUGCUACUGCGCCUGGCGUAACAGCUCCUGGUGCAACAACAAGUACUAGCUUAAUGUGGGGAGGCGGCGAGUUAGUAGCAGUAGGUGGCAAAGUGGCUUUGUUACCUAUUCCAUUAGGAACCGCGGAUUUUUAG